GGCGCAACGGCAGGCGGUUAAAAACCACUGGGCACUGCUCCUCAAGGUCGCCCUGUGGGAAGGGAAGGGGGAGCCGAGUCCUGGAUUGCUCCCCGGUGAGCGCUGGGCAGAAGAGGCCUGGCUUACUCAGCUGCUCCCCUUAAGAAACAGUUCCACACCUCUGAUUAUCCUUGUGCUUCUCAACAUUUUUCAGUUGUAAUGUGUCAUUAUGGGGAUAAGACGACUGGAACUACACACAAUGUUCAAGGUAUAUGCCACAGACAUAGGGAAGGACAUUUGUUGGAAACUGUGGAGCAUUUUGCCACUGAUUCUACUGCAUCAUCCUCUCACAGAUGAAAGAACAUCUCAAAGACUAGAAAAGCAACAGAGGCUCCAGAGGCUCUAGAAAAAAGGCUCCAGGAUAAAAUACCCCAGACCUCCCCCAGUACUUCUCAUAUUGUUCUAUUGCUUCCUUUUUUUCUACAUUGGUUUUUUAGUCUGCCUUUUUUCCAUCUCAUUGUUUUAAGGUAGACAGAUGAAAAUAGAUGCAGGAGAAAGAAGGUUUCAAGAAGUGCUGUGUAGUUACAGGUAUUUGAUCAGUAAACUAAACUGAUUACUCGAUCCUGGAGAAAUAAAUAGUGACUUUCACUACUUCCCAGGCACAGGAUGCCUUCUGCUGAUAGCGUGCUGACCAGGCUCAGGCACUGGGAAGGUGCAGUCUGGCAGUGGUGGGUAAAAAGCACAGACAGAAGGCAGUGAUCCUCCCUACUUCAACUGAGAAGAACAGAAUCGAACAGUUUGCUAUCAGCAAUUCUGUAAAAAUCAUUAUAUGGUAUAAUUAUAAUAUAUAAUGGCAUAUAAGUCAUAUUGUU